CACACACACACACACACACACACACACACACACACACACACACACACACACACACACACACACACACACACACACACACACACACACACACACACACACACACAAAGGACAGAGUGAGGCAGCAGGUUUCUCUAGUGUGGGCCUUAAUUACAUGACCAGGCAUCAACAUGGCAAAGAAGACUUGUAAUCAGGGCACAACCUGCUAGUCAGCUGGACAAGUCCUCAGCCAAAGCCAGACACAGAAUCCCAACCUGUAAAAUGGAGUAGCGAUGUUCCUCCCCAGUACGACCCGGCAGUGAGUCCAGCUGUCUGGAUAUCAGUGGUAGUCGUAGUGAACGGCUCCAUCCUGGCAAUGUUUCUAAGGUUCAUCAUAUACAAACUGCAGGCAAGGCACAAUCACACUGCAGUCAACAGUUUCCUGUGGGUAUCAAGAAUGGUCCACCACCCAAAGGACAUCCAGCCAACUUGGCACAACUGUGGGAAGCAUUGGAGUCAACAUGGGCCAGCAUCCCUGUGGAACGCUUUCAACACCUUGUGGAGUCCAUGUGAGGUGCAACUCAAUAUUAGGAAGGUGUUUUGUACAUUCAGUGUAGAUUUGGAAUAUCAGGCAUUUUGUAAACACACAAACAAACUCACACAUCAUGCACUCACACUCUCCCUCUCAUAAAGCA